rnacentral:rRNA from 1 species
GCGCCCAAUCUUUAAAACUUUUAUAUUUGUUCUGAAACAAUGAAAAUUUAAAACUUUCAACAACGGAUCUCUUGGUUCUCGUAUCGAUGAAGAACGCAGCAAAGCGCGAUAGGUAAUGCGAAUUGCAGACGUGAGUCAUUGAAUUUUUGAACGCAUAUUGCGCUAUUAGUUUGUCUAAUAGCAUGCUUGUUGGAGUGAUAAUCUUCCUCUCAACCAUUUUUGGUAUGAGGUCUUGCUCCUUUUAGGAGUUAAAAUCAUGGAAGUGCACACGUUAAUUAACUCUGUGCAGUUAUACACUUUUCAUCCUCCAAUCAAGCAAGGUUACCCGCUGAACUUAAGCAUAUCAAUAAGCGGAGGAANCCGUA